UUGGAUGGAAAUGAAUAUCUUCUGCUAAUGUUAUGAUUUUAGCAUCAGUUGUUACUCUAUUAGAUAAAACUUCCUGUUUUGAGCUGAAUCACGGCUUAAAAGUUGAAUUCAUUGAUGACAGCACAGUAUUUGCUGUCAGGUCUCUCCGCGGCGAGUCCAUCUAUUCUCCCCUCUUCCCACAGGAGGAUGGACAAAAAGGCUGCACUUGGGGUUUUCCGCUGAUCCCCAACUUGUUUGGAGAAACCCCAACUCGACUCGCCCUCGCCUCUCCUCCGUUCCGUGCCUCAACCCUCGCUUCUCCUCGACCUCCGGCGACGAUCACCGGCGGCCGCCAACCUCUCCGACAGGUUUUGAGAGCAGCAGUGCCUGAAAUUGUACCGAAACAUGAGAAAGAGAUAGCAUCUUUGUUAAAAAGCUACAAAAGACUUGUAUUCUAAGUGGCUAUUUGAGCUGAGGUGCGGCUUUGGCCUCUUAAUGUAUGGUUUUGUUUUCUAAGAAGAUUUUGCUUCAUCGGCAUUAACAGAGUUUGGAGCAGUUGUAAUCAAUGGCUAUCUUCCAUCGGUCAACAUAAAACAAGUAUUGUCCUCUACCGGUGCAUAUGCUAAUAAUUCAUGGAUUUUUGCGAUCCAAUAUCUUAUAAUUUUUAUGUUUUUUUUUUCCUCUGGUGAAUUAGGUGGAAGACAUAAUUUAUCUUCUCAUAAACCUCAAACUCAAUCCCUCCGCUGAAACCCUUAGAUUUCUCCAAGGAUUCAUGGUUAUAAUUGUGAAAUAUUUACUCUUUUUCCUAAAAUAAUUCAUAUAUGUCAAUCUAUGAAGUAGUAUUGGUGCAGGACCUAACUUAAGAAGACAACUUUAUAUGACUUAGGAUGAUAAUUACUUUUAUUCCUGCAGCUGAUUUGGUUUGAAUUGUCUUAUGUUCUGCAACCACCUCCAUCAGUAAACAUAUUGGAACUUCUCUGAUGCAAACAAUGUCAUAUGUUUGGAUAUUUUGUUUGGAAGGCAUAACCCUAAAGCUAGUUACUCAUUCAAGUGUCUAAUAAGCAUGGGUUUUCAUAUAUGAGUUGUCAAAGGUUCCAUUCAGAUUUUCAAUAUAGUAAAUAAAGAUGGUUCUCCCUCAUAUACAAGUUCCUCCUUCAUAAUUUUCUCUGUAUUCUCACUGUGCAUUGUUCCGCAAAUGUUCCCUUAUUGAUAUGUCCAUUUGAUAAGCAUCCAUGGAUAUGUUUCUAUGAUGCAGUUGUUUCACAUAAUGAACUAUAUAAUUCAUCUUAAAAAAAACAGUGAACUGUAUAAUUGGAUUUGACAGAAUGGUACAGAGCAAUUGUUAUUGGUAGUCUUGAAUAGAAAUGUUUAGUUAGGCAUCAUAACCAUUUUUCUUUACUUAGGUAAGUCUGAGCAUUUUACGCACUUUCAUGUUCAGCCGAUUUAUAGACUUAAAUUUUAUAUUUAUUGGUUACUUAUCCAUUGUGCGUUUAUGUCUUGCUUCAGCAAUUUGGACUUUAGUCUGUGGAAGUGCUUAUUUCACUUGGAUUACAAUGGAAAUUCAAAAGCAUUAAGCAUUAUAGAAAAGUUGAUAAGUAUGGAUUCAGUCUCACUUUUGCCUUAGUUAUCAUGGCUUACCUGUGAUGCAUCUUUGCUGCAAUAUUAUGAAUAUUCUCAUUCUUUAAGAGCAGAAAUAUACUUCAUUUUUCCAUGAAUCAUAUCUUGACAGAAUACAAGUGAAUUUUAUUACAUUGGAAGCUCCCGGGGAAUGUGGUGGUGUAUGGGGAGGGGUUGGAUGAGUCAAAUGAGAUCUGUUAUAUUUCAUUGUUGUAUGCAAAGGUUCUUUCCUUGAAAAUAAGCUGUGAGAGCGCUAUUGGCUGCCUACUCUUGACCUGCAUGCUAAACCCAAUAGUUCUAGUUCAGCUCAGUACCUUAAAAUUAAGGUUGUGAUUACUGUAGCUGAAGUUCUAUGGGACCAAUUAAAAACCAAACAAAAGUGCUUCCUUUUUCUUAUUACGGAGCUCUUUACUGGCUCUCUUUUUCUUUAGUUCUAAUUGUGAGGACUCUUUCAUUAUUUAUACAACUACUUAUUUCUGUCCGGGACCUCACUCUCUUGUUUCAUCCGACUUUCAUCAAGUGAUGCACUUAUGAAAUCUGGGAUAAAUUCGCUUAUUGAGCUGUCUGCUUCCAACUACUAUUCAUUGCACCACUGCUCGUGCUGCUCGUAUUAGUGGAUAUGAGACUUCAAUCUAGUUCAGGAGAAGAAAGAGCUGGAUUUAUGGAAUUGAGUAUUCUGUAGCUUUACAUCGGGAUCCUAUCCUGGCUAGCGAUGCGGCGAAAGAAGCAGAGGCAACUAUUGAAUAGGUUUGUCGAGUAAUAGCACAAGUUCCCGUAGACUCGUACAAGCCAGUAUCUUGAUAGAAUUGGGGAGCAACUAGGGCGGGGCAGUAGGUAGGCCUAGGAAGAGGAAACAACACACUAAUGGAACUGUCAAAUCAAUUCCCUAUGCCGAAUACCACAACCCCGGGAAAGCGAGAUAUCCACGUGUGUCCCCAUCGUAGGGGCAGGCCCAAGCUGUCCAUAGGAGAAUCUUUAGUCGCAAGGCAAUGGGCAGCAACUGUCGCCUUCAGACUAGCAACUUUAGCCUUCCUGUUUUAGAGCAGUUGCUUCUCUUUCUUUUGAAUAUGUUUAAUAGUCUUAAGCUGUAAACAAGAGGAGCAAGCAUUAGUUAUCCAAAGGCGUAUGUUUGUGGCUUUCCCUAUUGACUUUCUGGCUAGCAAGUACGUAAUUUUAUUGAUUCUCUUACUAGAUAGACUACUAGCUUCAGUAUACCUCUGGCUGAUGAGUUGAUUGAAACCUUGACUUUAGUGAAGUGAGUUUCUCUUUUUGUUAGCUGAAUUCAAGAUGAACCUUCUUCAUCUAAUGGUGUAUUAAUGUUGCUUUCCUAACUAGCUAGCUGCUUAAAGUCUUAAAUCUCUAAGAGCUGUAUCCUCAGCUUGACAGAGCCCUAGUAAAUAUCCCAAAAAAAGCUUGUGUACAAUUUUUUGAAUAGCCUUUGUCCCAUACUUCGCCUAGUAAUGCUAGAGUUGAAAAAAUUGCUUUAACCUAGUGAUAUAGAAUACCCUGCUUUAAUCUCUAACUUUGCCUCUCAUUAAAGAAAAGUAGUAGCCAUUUUCUAAUGGAGCAUACGACUGCUUCUCUUCUUGCUUUGCUAGUGUUGAUAGUUUAUUCCAACUGGUUUAAGGUACUUUUUUUUGGAUAAAAGUCCUCUACUUUCUGCCUUCCAACUUUAGAGCAGUUGCUUCUCUCUAGCUGUCGUACUACUCGACUAGUUGCAUCCCUUCUUAGUAUACCAUAUCCUUUUGCUCUGUAUCCUACGGGUUGAUAUAAGUAUCUGCAUGCAAUACCAGAGCCUACGACAUUGAUGACAAAGCAAGCUAGAGCAGAGCGGAGCCAGUCCUAGCUCCUUAGAGUCUUAUAGGCUCAGACGCCACUUGAGGACCAUUGCCAUCGUCCUCAACCAAAGAAGUGAAUUGUAGGAGACUACUGGUUACUUGACCUCCAACACCAAGAGGUAAUGGUGCUGAGCAAAGCCUACCCUAGCCUUGGAAGUUGCGAACCUCCAUGAAGAAAAGAGACAUAAGCAAGACUGCCAGUUCCAUAAGGAUCAUAGAUACGAUACAGAUGAGUGCCUUCAGCUGAAAGAUGAAAUUGAAGCACUUGUUCAGUAAGAAUACCUUGAUCGUUACACUAAUGACCACAAGAAUCCUAAUCCAGAUGGGUGAACCCCUAAGAGAUAGGAUGUUAAUUAGCCCCUCGCUAGGGUAAUAAUCACUAUCUUCUAAAGGUCCACAACUGGGAUCUUAGGCCUCCCGACCUUGAAAAAUUGAUGAUUGAGCUUGAAGCAUAGGAAGAAAGCAUCCAUGCCUAACGUGCAAGCUUGAAAAAUUUGAGCUUUGGUGAUGGCAAGAUGUGGCAUCAAUAAUAUUUAAAUUUUUAAAUCUCUAUACUUUUUGAAAAAUAACCAUGAACAGAUUAUGUUUCAAAAUUCCUCCCCCCAAGGGCAAAGAUGCUAUAGGUUGCACUAAUCUAAAGGAACUGUCAAUCUUGAAAAAGUUUGUAUCUGAAAAUCGUAGCAUAACCUAGGAGGCACACUCGAAUUGAUCACCCAAAGUGUAUUUUAACUCAAGGCCUGUUGGCCUCCAUAAUGCAAGCAAGUCUGUUGACCCUUAUACUUGCCCUUGUGAACUCUCAAGACUUGCCGGCUCCUGAGGCUCGAGCAGGCUUAUUGGCUCUUAUACUUGUCCUUGUGUAUUCUCAAGUUUCUUUGGCCCUUAAAGUGCAAGCAGUCCGCUGGCCCUUAUACUCGACCUCGUGUGUUCUUAAGGUCCGUUGGCCCUCGAGGUGCUAGCAGAUCAGUGUUGGAAAUCAAGAGGGUUUACACUCACAAAUUACUCUAUGGAAGAAAAGUGGAGAGGUUUUUAGGCACACAUGAAUAACUUAUAUUCCAUUAACUUCAAAAACAACUAGAGUCCAUGGAUAUUUAUAGGCACCAUUAGAUGGUCUUUUAACCUCCCUAAUUGAAUUGGUUAUUACACCAUACAUAACUCCAAAUAAAUUUUAAAUAACUUCCUCUAAAUAAAUCUCUUAUAACUCCAUGUAACUCUCACAUGACUAAAAACUCAAAAGAUAUGUAAGUCCUCACCAUAAUAAUAUGCAAUUAUAAAAAAUAAAACCAUAAGUUACUAAUAUUAAAAAACAAGUUUAGUAACUAAUACCCCUCCUUAAACUUGGUUUUGCAACUCAAAGCAAACUCUUUAACUUGUAAAAAGUUUCACUCUUGAGGGGCUUAGUGAAAAUAUUGGCAAUUUGAUCUUCAGACUUCAUGUACUUGAGCUUUACUUUCUUUUUAACCAUACAUUUUCUAAUGAGAUGAUACUUUAUAUCGAUAUGCU